UUUGAACUAGUGUAAGUGAUAAUAUAGACUUUGGAAGUCUAAGAUUU
rnacentral:tRNA from 1 species